rnacentral:rRNA from 1 species
UACGGAGGGAGCAAGCGUUAUCCGGAAUCACUGGGUUUAAAGGGUGCGUAGGCGGGCUGAUAAGUCAGGGGUGAAAGCUCACGGCUCAACCGUGGAAUUGCCUUUGAUACUGUUAGUCUUGAAGCGGGUUGAGGUUGGCGGAAUAUGGCAUGUAGCGGUGAAAUGCAUAGAUAUGCCAUAGAACACCGAUUGCGAAGGCGGCUGACUGGACCCGAUUUGACGCUGAGGCACGAAAGCGUGGGGAGCGAACAGG